GACGAACGCUGGCGGCGUGCCUAAUACAUGCAAGUUGAGCGAUGAAGAUUGGUGCUUGCACCAAUUUGAAGAGCAGCGAACGGGUGAGUAACGCGUGGGGAAUCUGCCUUUGAGCGGGGGACAACAUUUGGAAACGAAUGCUAAUACCGCAUAACAACUUUAAACAUAAGUUUUAAGUUUGAAAGAUGCAAUUGCAUCACUCAAAGAUGAUCCCGCGUUGUAUUAGCUAGUUGGUGAGGUAAAGGCUCACCAAGGCGAUGAUACAUAGCCGACCUGAGAGGGUGAUCGGCCACAAUGGGACUGAGACACGGCCCAAACUCCUACGGGAGGCAGCAGUAGGGAAUCUUCGGCAAUGGACGAAAGUCUGACCGAGCAACGCCGCGUGAGUGAAGAAGGUUUUCGGAUCGUAAAACUCUGUUGGUAGAGAAGAACGUUGGUGAGAGUGGAAAGCUCAUCAAGUGACGGUAACUACCCAGAAAGGGACGGCUAACUACGUG
rnacentral:rRNA from 1 species